CGCUGCCAUUUGCUAAAAUCAACGAGGGAUUUGAAUUGCUACGUGCAGGCAAAAGCAUUCGCAGCGUGCUGCUCUUCUGAAGGAUGCGAUCGGGGCAGCACGAGUGCAGCACACAGCCCAGCAGAUGCCCUCCUGUGCGGGCCCUUCCCUCCCCCGUCGCCCUUCAUGGACUGCAAAGACAGAAGCACAAGGAACUUGUCAGCUGUGCUGCAGCUGCCAGCGCUCCUGCGCCCACCCUCUCCUGAGAAAACAGUUAUAUAAAUAAAGGCUGUCUCACAAACUC